AUUGAACGCUGGCGGCGUGCCUAACACAUGCAAGUCGAGCGGUAACAGGUGUAGCAAUACAUGCUGACGAGCGGCGGACGGGUGAGUAAUGUUUGGGAAUCUGCCUAUUAGUGGGGGAUAACCCGGGGAAACUCGGGCUAAUACCGCAUACGCACUACGGUGGAAAGCCGGGGACCGCAAGGCCUGGCGCUAAUAGAUGAGCCCAAAUCGGAUUAGCUAGUUGGUGAGGUAACGGCUCACCAAGGCGACGAUCCGUAGCUGGUUUGAGAGAACGACCAGCCACGCCGGAACUGGGACACGGUCCGGACUCCUACGGGAGGCAGCAGUGGGGAAUAUUGGACAAUGGGCGCAAGCCUGAUCCAGCGACGCCGCGUGCGUGAAGAAGGCCUUUCGGUUGUAAAGCACUUUAAGCGAGGAGGAGGCUACCUGGAUUAAUACUCUAGGAUAGUGGACGUUACUCGCAGAAUAAGCACCGGCUAACUCUGUGCCAGCAGCCGCCGUAAUAC
rnacentral:rRNA from 1 species